GUUGAAUCAGAUGGAGGAGUCCAGGCCAGUAUUAGAGUAGGUUGAAUCAGCUGGAGGAGUCCAGGCCAGUAUUAGAGUAGGUUGAAUCAGAUGGAGGAGUCCAGGCCAGUAUUAGCGUAGGUUGAAUCAGCUGGAGGAGUCCAGGCCAGUAUUAGAGUAGGUUGAAUCAGCUGAAGGAGUCCAGGCCAGUAUUAGAGUAGGUUGAAUCAGCUGAAGGAGUCCAGGCCAGUAUUAGUGUAGGUUGAAUCAGCUGAUGGAGUCCAGGCCAGUAUUAGUGUAGGUUGAAUCAGCUGGAGGAGUCCAGGCCAGGCUGUUGCUGCUUAGGCGACACACUCAUUCACACCACAAGGUCAAUUUUAUACUUAUACUGAAAGCAUGGUGUUUGUGUGAUUAAUCAUUGAACACGUCUCUUAUUUUACAUGUUCCUGAUUACAUUAACACAGCACUAGCCAGACACUUCUCAGUAUUCAUCACACCUGUGUGUGUGUGUGUGUGUGUGUGUGUGUGUGUGUGUGUGUGUGUGUGUGUGUGUGUGUGUGUGUGUGUGUGUGUGUGU
rnacentral:lncRNA from 1 species